AGCCCCUCCCAGACGCCCCGGGGAAACGGCAUCCCAGAGCUCCGCUCCCUGGAGGCCCCUCCAGAGAGGGACCCGGGGCCCCGCCCCGCAGCUGGAGAAGGGGUGAAUGCCUUUCCUACCUAACGCCUGGUCCGCGGCCCUGCUUGUUGCGUCUCCAAGACCACGUGUCUGCUGCAUUUUAAAAAUAGUUGUGAACAUCUGACUUUCUCCUUUUACUUUGGAGUUUGCUGAAAUGUAACCUCAGAAUAAGUGGGGUAUGACUGCCCUCUCCUUUGAGGGAAAAGAAAAAGUAUUUUCAGGCCAGGCACGGUGGCUCAUGCUUAUAAUCCCAGCACUUUGGGAGGCUGAGAAUACAUCAAUAAAAGAAGAACAAUUCAAGAGAAACAGGAAAUUCACAGAAGAGGAAACCGGAAUUGUCAUAAACAAAUGAAAAAUGCUCAACUUCCCUAGUAAUUAUGAGAAUUCAAAUCAAAAUAAAGACUUCAUUUCACACUUA
rnacentral:lncRNA from 1 species